rnacentral:rRNA from 1 species
GAUGAACGCUGGCUACAGGCUUAACACAUGCAAGUCGAGGGGAAACGACGGGGAAGCUUGCUUCCCCGGGCGUCGACCGGCGCACGGGUGAGUAACGCGUAUCCAACCUGCCUCUGACUGAGGGAUAGCCCGUCGAAAGUCGGCCUAAUACCUCAUGGCAUCGUCUGCGGGCAGCCAACGACGAUUAAAGAUUUCAUCGGUCAGAGAUGGGGAUGCGUCUGAUUAGCUUGUUGGCGGGGUAACGGCCCACCAAGGCGACGAUCAGUAGGGGUUCUGAGAGGAAGGUCCCCCACAUUGGAACUGAGACACGGUCCAAACUCCUACGGGAGGCAGCAGUGAGGAAUAUUGAUCAAUGGGCGAGAGCCUGAACCAGCCAAGUAGCGUGCAGGAUGACGGCCCUAUGGGUUGUAAACUGCUUUUAUGCGGGGAUAAAGUGAGGGACGUGUCCUUCAUUGCAGGUACCGCAUGAAUAAGGACCGGCUAAUUCCGUG